UCUGGAAUGUGAUUGGCUGUUCAAUGUACACCACAGGUGAUGAAGGUGAGCAGGUGAACAGGUGAUGAAGGUGAGCAGGUGAUGAAGGUGAGCAGGUGAUGAAGGUGUUACAGGUGAUGAAGGUGAGCAGGUGAUGAAGGUGUUACAGGUG